rnacentral:rRNA from 1 species
GGAUUAGAUACCCUGGUAGUCCACGCCUUAAACGAUGUAUGCUUGGUGUUGGUGCAGUGAUGCAUCAGUGCCGUAGGAAAUCUGAUAAGCAUACCACCUGGGGAGUACGAUCGCAAGGUUGAAACUCAAAGGAAUUGACGGGGGCCCGCACAAGCGGUGGAUCAUGUGGUUUAAUUCGAUGCAACGCGAAGAACCUUACCCGGGCUCGAAGUGCUAGUAGUAAAGAGAUGAAAGUCGACUGAACCGUAAAGUCGGUUGCUAGUAGAGGUGCUGCAUGGCUGUCGUCAGCUCGUGCCG